AGCUCCAAUAGCGUAUAUUAAAGUUGUUGCAGUUAAAAAGCUCGUAGUUGGAUUUCUGCCGUGGUGCGCCUGGCCCGGCCUCUAAGAGGUUGUGAGCCGGCGCGCACCGGGCAUCCUUCGUGUGAACAAGUCGGCGGUUAACUCUGUCUGGCUCGGGAAACGCGAUCGUUUACUUUGAAGAAAUUAGAGUGUUCAAAGCAGGCAUUUGCUGUGAAUAGGUUAGCAUGGAAUAAUAAGAUAGGGCUUCGGUUCUAUUUUGUUGGUUUCUAGGACUGAAGUAAUGAUUGAUAGGGAUAGUUGGGGGUGCUCGUAUUGACUGGCCAGAGGUGAAAUUCACGGAUUCAGUCAAGACGAACUUAUGCGAAAGCAUUCACCAAGGAUGUCUUCUUUAAUCAAGAAC
rnacentral:rRNA from 1 species